GCCACGGUAGCUCAGUUGGCAGAGCACAGGACUCAUAAGCCUGGGGUCGUCGGUUCAAUCCCGACCCGUGGCACCA
rnacentral:tRNA from 1 species